CCUGGUUGAUCCUGCCAGUAGUCAUAUGCUUGUCUCAAAGAUUAAGCCAUGCAUGUCUAAGUACAUGCCGCAUUAAGGCGAAACCGCGAAUGGCUCAUUAAAUCAGUUACGGUUCACGAGAUGCUGACAAUCCUACUUGGAUAACUGUGGUAAUUCUAGAGCUAAUACAUGCACCAAAGCCACGACCUGGGCAUCUCGGUGCCCGGGAAGAGGCGCACUUAUUAGACCAAGACCAACUGCGGNCGCUCGCGGNCGCACCAACUCAUGGUGACUCUAGAUAAUCAAGCUGAUCGCAUGGNCUCGCGCCGGCGACUCAUCUUUCAAGUGUCUGCCUUAUCAACUGUCGAUGGUGGGUUACACGCCCACCCAUGGUGAUAACGGGUAACGGGGAAUCAGGGUUCGAUUCCGGAGAGGGAGCCUGAGAAACGGCUACCACAUCCAAGGAAGGCAGCAGGCGCGCAAAUUACUCACUCCCGGCACGGGGAAGUAGUGACGAAAAAUAACAAUGCGGCGCUCAUACGAGUGUCCGCAAUUGUAAUGAGUACAAUCUAAAUCCUUUAACGAGGACCAAUUGGAGGGCAAGUCUGGUGCCAGCAGCCGCGGUAAUUCCAGCUCCAAUAGCGUAUAUUAAAGUUGUUGCGGGUAAAAAGCUCGUAGUUGGAUCUCAUCGCUCUGUUUCUCGUGUCUGGUCUGCUUCGGCGGGCCAGUUACACGAGGGCAGCGAUACAUUACUGUGUCUCGCAACUAGCUGCGCUUCGGCGUGGUCAAGUACGGGCUCGCGUCGCGGUCCCCUUCACCGGGCGCCGCGGCCGCACAGUAGGUUUACUUUGAAAAAAUUAGAGUGCUCAAAGCAGGCAGUCAUUCAACAGACAUGCCAGAAUAUUGUUGCAUGGAAUAAUGGAAUAGGACCUCGGUCCCUUAUUCUGUUGGUCUCCGGAACCGGAGGUAAUGAUUAAGAGGGACAGACGGGGGCAUUCGUACUGCAGCGCUAGAGGUGAAAUUCUUGGACCGCUGCAAGACGCACGACAGCGAAAGCAUUUGCCAAGAAUGUUUUCAUUAAUCAAGAACGAAAGUUAGAGGUUCGAAGGCGAUCAGAUACCGCCCUAGUUCUAACCAUAAACGAUGCCAACCAGCGAUCCGCCUGAGCCGCAAUUGAAAGACGACUCGGCGGGCAGCUUCCGGAAACCCACAGUGUUUCGGUUCCGGGGGAAGUAUGGUUCCAAAGCUGAAACUUAAAGGAAUUGACGGAAGGGCACCACCAGGAGUGGAGCCUGCGGCUUAAUUUGACUCAACACGGGGAAACUCACCCGGCCCGGACACUGGCAUGAUUGACAGUUUGAUAGCUCUUUCUUGAUUCGGUGGGUGGUGGUGCAUGGCCGUUCUUAGUUGGUGGAGUGAUUUGUCUGGUUAAUUCCGAUAACGAACGAGACUCUAGCCUACUAACUAGUCGUCCGCGUGCCUUUGUUUUUUGUUAUUUUCUGUGCUACUCUUCGGGGUAGUUCUAGAAAAUGGCAACGCAGAGGUCUCCGCGCGACUGUGACUUCUUAGAGGGAUGCGCGGUGACUCAGCCGCAUGAAACCGAGAGCAAUAACAGGUCUGUGAUGCCCUUAGAUGUCCGGGGCCGCACGCGCGCUACACUGAAAAGAUCAGCGUGCAUAAAGUUGACCCUCUCCGAAAGGAGCGGGGAAACCCUUGAACCCUUUCCGUGAUUGGGAUAGGGGCUUGUAACUGUUGCCCUUGAACGAGGAAUUCCUAGUAAGCGCGAUUCAUCCAGAUCGCGUUGAUUACGUCCCUGCCCUUUGUACACACCGCCCCGUCGCUACUACCGAUUGAAUGAUUGGGUGAGCUCUUUGGACCGGUCUCCUUUUGUCGCCUGCUUCGGUUGGUGNCUGUUGGAGUGCUGGAAAGAUGCGCGAACUCGUUCAUUUAGAGGAAGUAAAAGUCGGAACAAGGUUUCCGUAGGUGAACCUGCGGAAGGAUCAAUUA
rnacentral:rRNA from 1 species